rnacentral:rRNA from 1 species
AUGCAACCUUCGGAGUCGCACAAGGAGGCAAAACUGGAGGUGCAGCACUACCAACCUGAGCUGCUGAGGGCAGCUCGGAUGGGCCUUCUGCACCAACUACGUGAUAUUCUGGGCAGUGACAAUACAACUAUCACACCGGUUGUGUUGGAGCCUGUAGUCAUGAUCGACAUUGAGAGGGUCGACAUCGACGUUGAAAGGGUGGACACCCUGGAGAUGGACUCGAUCCUCCAUGUCGUUGCGGCGAGCGGCGAUGAAGAGAACUUCUUGGAAGCUGGCGGGGUGGAGAUGCUCUCUCGUCUCAUCCAUCUGGCAAGAGCCGACGGCGGGCAUGCAAGGGUGACGGAUGUGCUGAGAAAGCAGAACAAGAAAGGCGAGACGGCCCUUCAUGAGGCCCUCCGCUUGGCCAACAAGAAAACUAUGAAGGAAAUGGUUAAAAAGUUAAUGGAGGUGGAUCCAGAAUUGGCUUGCAUUCCGCAUUGCGACGCUACAUCGCCCUUGUACCUGGCCGUCUCACUAGGACAUGAUGAUAUUGCAGUCUUUUUGCAUUCGGAGAACGAGAAGCUGUCCUACUCUGGACCAUAUGGACAAAACGUCUUGCAUGUCGCCGUGCUUAGGGGCAAAGGACUGCGUGAUGGUAAUGGCCAGACCUUCCUACAUGUUGGUAUUGCGAAGGAGCACCCUCUUGUGGUCGGAAGUUGGUACCAUCACAUACCAUUUGCACCAAUUAUGAACGUGCAAGACAAUCAUGGGAACAGUCCACUCCAUCUUGCUGCCAUAGUCGGGAACCAGUGGGGUUUCUAUCUUCUAAUUCAGAACCCGCAAGUUCAGCUGGAUUUAGUGAACAACAAAGGCCAAACACCGCUAGAUAUUGCAUGGACGAAGAUGCCACAAGGCCUUAAUUUCAUGCUGAACCCACGAAAUAGGAUAUACCUACUACUUAAAGGUGCAGGAGCUAAAACUGCUGCAUACCUCUGUGAUUGGUUCCUCAAAGAACAUAUCCCGCCAAUAGAAAUUAAAGUGGAAGAAAAGAAGAUCUCAGAUUCCACGCCGAUUAUUGGCAUUGGGUCAGUGCUAAUUGUUACGGUAGCUUUCGCAGCAGCUUUCACCUUACCAGGUGGCUUCCGAACAGAUGACUUGAAGGGUAAGCGUGGAACAGCUGGAAUAGCUAUGCUUGCUGGAAAACCAGUCUUUCACGCGUUCAUCAUCGCCAACACACUGGCGCUCGUUUCCUCAGCUCUAGCUACCAUGAACGUCAUGUACGCUGGGGUCACCGCAGUCGACAUACGCACGCGCAUGACCUCCUUCAUCAUCUCCAUCAUCUUUGUCUAUUGCUCGGCCAAGUCCUUGGCUGCCGCAUUUGUGUUUGGACUCUACGUGGACCGUAUCAGGCAGCUUAUGUAUCUGGCACCAAGUUUCGAUCUUGUCCAAUUUGACAGAUUCCGGGUUCUUGAAACCAUCAUAUUCCGCCAUAAUCAAUGUCAUCCCCUUGAAGUCCCAAGGGCCCUGGUGCAACGCCUUGUUCCAACCAGCCAGACAAUUGAACUGCAUCGAGAACAGGGGGCCUUGAUUGCGGAUAUGAAAGCGGCAUGGAAUCCCGCGAGGGAUGUGGUCUGGAGAAGGAUAAAUUCCAACCUGUUCUCGAUGCAGUUCAAUUGUCUGGCGGAUUGGAACAAGGCGUUGCACCAGGGCCCUUGGGACUUCAAGGGGAUGACAUUGAUUAUAGCGGAAUAUGAUGGUUUCAAGAACCCGGAAUCUGUCAAAUUGGACAAGAUCGAAACUUGGUGCCAGAUACAUAAGCUGCCUGAUAUGGUCCUGAAGAGGGAACAGUUUGUGAAAAACAUGGCACAAUGCAUAGGCGAGGUCAUGGAGGUGCAGAUCGUUCUCCCUAUUGGUUUUAUUGGUGAAUUCAUCAGAGCCAGGGUGCAACUUGAUGUAUCCAAGAAAUUGACGAGGUUUGUGGGAUUUACAAAAGGAGGCAAGACUGAGUACUAUCAAGUUAAGUUUGAAAAGCUCCCUGUGUUUUGCUUUAUGUGUGGCCUGCUUGGCCAUUGGCAUGAGGAGUGUGGGUCAGGGGAGCAUGACAAGAAGGAUAUGGAGUGGGGUUCUUUUAUUAUGGCAUCUCCCAGAGGUGCGGGUAGAAACAGGAACCCGGCUAGAGGUGCUGGGCGUGGCUCGGGUCGUGCUCGGACGCUGUUGGUAAGGAAGAUGAUGCUGAAGCUGGUGGAAGGAGAGGAGGACCAGCAGGGCUUUGCGUCCAUGGCCGUGGUUUUGGGAGGGACGUGCAUGCUCGGGAACCCCAGUGUAGCAAUGCUGAUGUGGAGCACAUGCAUACGAGCUGGCGGUUUUACAGCAAAUAAGGUGGAUCAGUUUGAGGGGUCGGAUAUACCCAGCAGCUCAGAUAUUGGUACCCCACAGAAGAAUGCGAAUCGCAAGAAGUUUAAGACUGAUGAUGGUGUUGCCAUUGAUAGUACAUCAACUAGUGGACCGGCGGCCUCCUCGGUGGAGGACCGCCGGAAGCAAUGA